CGGGACCUGCCUCAGACCUCUCUGAGGUCCAGGGAGUCUGAGGGGUGCCUUUUGCCCCCAGGUUACUGGGAGGUGAACGGCUUUGGCCUCUUUGGGAUCUACAAGUCCGACUUUGAGCGCGUCGGAGGCAUGAACACCGAGGAGUUCCGAGACCAGUGGGGCGGGGAGGACUGGGAGCUGCUGGACAGGGUGCUGCAGGCGGGGCUGGAGGUGGAGCGGCUGCGCCUGCGGAACUUCUACCACCACUACCACUCCCGGCGGGGCAUGUGGGGUGCACGGCGGGGCGCACACAUCCGGAAGGGCUCCCGCGCAGAGGGACCUUGAAAACGGGCCACCUAGCCCAGCCUGUCCCCUGAGUCCACCAUCCUGCGCGCCCCUCCCCAGAGAGGCAGGCUUCACAGCGGGUCAGGCCCAGGCUCGGUCCCCACACUCUGUGUGAUGAUUUCUGUGAAAUUUUGCUGUAGCGAUGACAUUGUUUUCAGGAUUUCCAGGAGUUCUGUCUGUUGCGUUUUUUAUUCAGAAUGAAAUGAAAUAUAUUUUUUAGUUCUGA